rnacentral:rRNA from 1 species
AUUGAACGCUGGCGGCAUGCCUUACACAUGCAAGUCGAACGGCAGCGGACCUUCGGGUGCCGGCGAGUGGCGAACGGGUGAGUAAUAUAUCGGAACGUACCUUUCAGUGGGGGAUAACGUAGCGAAAGUUACGCUAAUACCGCAUAUUCUGUGGGCAGGAAAGCAGGGGAUCGCAAGACCUUGCGCUGAUUGAGCGGCCGAUAUCAGAUUAGCUAGUUGGUGAGGUAAAGGCUCACCAAGGCGACGAUCUGUAGCGGGUCUGAGAGGAUGAUCCGCCACACUGGAACUGAGACACGGUCCAGACUCCUACGGGAGGCAGCAGUGGGGAAUUUUGGACAAUGGGCGCAAGCCUGAUCCAGCCAUGCCGCGUGAGUGAAGAAGGCCUUC